rnacentral:misc_RNA from 1 species
UCCGCUUUUACAAACGAAGGAGAUGCUAACAUCCUACGAAGAACUCGCCCCAUUUCAGAAUUACUCUUCCAGGAUGGCUGCUAUAGACUAUACUGUUUGUCUUCAUAGUGAAGUAUUUGUGACAACUCAAGGAGGAAAUUUCCCCCACUUUUUGUUGGGUCAUAGAAGAUUCUUGUAUGGUGGACACUCGAGGACAAUUAGGCCAGACAAGAGG